rnacentral:rRNA from 1 species
ACUAAGCGUACACGGUGGAUGCCCUGGCAGUCAGAGGCGAUGAAGGACGUGCUAAUCUGCGAUAAGCGUCGGUAAGGUGAUAUGAACCGUUAUAACCGGCGAUUUCCGAAUGGGGAAACCCAGUGUGUUUCGACACACUAUCAUUAACUGAAUCCAUAGGUUAAUGAGGCGAACCGGGGGAACUGAAACAUCUAAGUACCCCGAGGAAAAGAAAUCAACCGAGAUUCCCCCAGUAGCGGCGAGCGAACGGGGAGCAGCCCAGAGCCUGAAUCAGUGUGUGUGUUAGUGGAAGCGUCUGGAAAGGCGCGCGAUACAGGGUGACAGCCCCGUACACAAAAAUGCACAUGCUGUGAGCUCGAUGAGUAGGGCGGGACACGUGGUAUCCUGUCUGAAUAUGGGGGGACCAUCCUCCAAGGCUAAAUACUCCUGACUGACCGAUAGUGAACCAGUACCGUGAGGGAAAGGCGAAAAGAACCCCGGCGAGGGGAGUGAAAAAGAACCUGAAACCGUGUACGUACAAGCAGUGGGAGCACGCUUAGGCGUGUGACUGCGUACCUUUUGUAUAAUGGGUCAGCGACUUAUAUUCUGUAGCAAGGUUAACCGAAUAGGGGAGCCGAAGGGAAACCGAGUCUUAACUGGGCGUUAAGUUGCAGGGUAUAGACCCGAAACCCGGUGAUCUAGCCAUGGGCAGGUUGAAGGUUGGGUAACACUAACUGGAGGACCGAACCGACUAAUGUUGAAAAAUUAGCGGAUGACUUGUGGCUGGGGGUGAAAGGCCAAUCAAACCGGGAGAUAGCUGGUUCUCCCCGAAAGCUAUUUAGGUAGCGCCUCGUGAAUUCAUCUCCGGGGGUAGAGCACUGUUUCGGCAAGGGGGUCAUCCCGACUUACCAACCCGAUGCAAACUGCGAAUACCGGAGAAUGUUAUCACGGGAGACACACGGCGGGUGCUAACGUCCGUCGUGAAGAGGGAAACAACCCAGACCGCCAGCUAAGGUCCCAAAGUCAUGGUUAAGUGGGAAACGAUGUGGGAAGGCCCAGACAGCCAGGAUGUUGGCUUAGAAGCAGCCAUCAUUUAAAGAAAGCGUAAUAGCUCACUGGUCGAGUCGGCCUGCGCGGAAGAUGUAACGGGGCUAAACCAUGCACCGAAGCUGCGGCAGCGACGCUGAUGCGUUGUUGGGUAGGGGAGCGUUCUGUAAGCCUGUGAAGGUGUGCUGUGAGGCAUGCUGGAGGUAUCAGAAGUGCGAAUGCUGACAUAAGUAACGAUAAAGCGGGUGAAAAGCCCGCUCGCCGGAAGACCAAGGGUUCCUGUCCAACGUUAAUCGGGGCAGGGUGAGUCGACCCCUAAGGCGAGGCCGAAAGGCGUAGUCGAUGGGAAACAGGUUAAUAUUCCUGUACUUGGUGUUACUGCGAAGGGGGGACGGAGAAGGCUAUGUUGGCCGGGCGACGGUUGUCCCGGUUUAAGCGUGUAGGCUGGUUUUCCAGGCAAAUCCGGAAAAUCAAGGCUGAGGCGUGAUGACGAGGCACUACGGUGCUGAAGCAACAAAUGCCCUGCUUCCAGGAAAAGCCUCUAAGCAUCAGGUAACAUCAAAUCGUACCCCAAACCGACACAGGUGGUCAGGUAGAGAAUACCAAGGCGCUUGAGAGAACUCGGGUGAAGGAACUAGGCAAAAUGGUGCCGUAACUUCGGGAGAAGGCACGCUGAUAUGUAGGUGAAGUCCCUCGCGGAUGGAGCUGAAAUCAGUCGAAGAUACCAGCUGGCUGCAACUGUUUAUUAAAAACACAGCACUGUGCAAACACGAAAGUGGACGUAUACGGUGUGACGCCUGCCCGGUGCCGGAAGGUUAAUUGAUGGGGUUAGCGCAAGCGAAGCUCUUGAUCGAAGCCCCGGUAAACGGCGGCCGUAACUAUAACGGUCCUAAGGUAGCGAAAUUCCUUGUCGGGUAAGUUCCGACCUGCACGAAUGGCGUAAUGAUGGCCAGGCUGUCUCCACCCGAGACUCAGUGAAAUUGAACUCGCUGUGAAGAUGCAGUGUACCCGCGGCAAGACGGAAAGACCCCGUGAACCUUUACUAUAGCUUGACACUGAACAUUGAGCCUUGAUGUGUAGGAUAGGUGGGAGGCUUUGAAGUGUGGACGCCAGUCUGCAUGGAGCCGACCUUGAAAUACCACCCUUUAAUGUUUGAUGUUCUAACGUGGACCCGUGAUCCGGGUUGCGGACAGUGUCUGGUGGGUAGUUUGACUGGGGCGGUCUCCUCCUAAAGAGUAACGGAGGAGCACGAAGGUUGGCUAAUCCUGGUCGGACAUCAGGAGGUUAGUGCAAUGGCAUAAGCCAGCUUGACUGCGAGCGUGACGGCGCGAGCAGGUGCGAAAGCAGGUCAUAGUGAUCCGGUGGUUCUGAAUGGAAGGGCCAUCGCUCAACGGAUAAAAGGUACUCCGGGGAUAACAGGCUGAUACCGCCCAAGAGUUCAUAUCGACGGCGGUGUUUGGCACCUCGAUGUCGGCUCAUCACAUCCUGGGGCUGAAGUAGGUCCCAAGGGUAUGGCUGUUCGCCAUUUAAAGUGGUACGCGAGCUGGGUUUAGAACGUCGUGAGACAGUUCGGUCCCUAUCUGCCGUGGGCGCUGGAGAACUGAGGGGGGCUGCUCCUAGUACGAGAGGACCGGAGUGGACGCAUCACUGGUGUUCGGGUUGUCAUGCCAAUGGCACUGCCCGGUAGCUAAAUGCGGAAGAGAUAAGUGCUGAAAGCAUCUAAGCACGAAACUUGCCCCGAGAUGAGUUCUCCCUGACUCCUUGAGAGUCCUGAAGGAACGUUGAAGACGACGACGUUGAUAGGCCGGGUGUGUAAGCGCAGCGAUGCGUUGAGCUAACCGGUACUAAUGAACCGUGAGGCUUAACC